rnacentral:rRNA from 1 species
UAGUGAAAUAGUACCGUGAGGGAAAGGUGAAAAGAACCCCGGGAGGGGAGUGAAAAGAACAUGAAACCAUAAACUUACAAGCAGUAGGAGGACGACUAAAACGUCUGACUGCGUGCCUGUUGAAGAAUGAGCCGGCGACUUAUAGUUAGUGGCAGGUUAAAGUAGAGAAUACUGAAGCCAUAGUGAAAGCGAGCCUGAAUAGGGCGUUUGUCACUAGUUAUAGACCCGAACCCGGAUGAUCUAACCAUGGUCAGGUUGAAGCUUAGGUAAUACUAAGUGGAGGACCGAACCGACUGAUGUUGAAAAAUCAGCGGAUGAGCUGUGGUUAGGGGUGAAAUGCCAAUCGAAUUCGGAGCUAGCUGGUUCUCCCCGAAAUGCGUUUUGGCGCAGCGGUAAAUGUUAUAAUUUAGGGGUAAAGCACUGUUACGUAUGCGGGCUGGUAAUUCGGUACCAAAUCGUUGCAAACUAAGAAUACUAAAUGAAUAGUUUACCAGUGAGACUGUGGGGGAUAAGCUCCAUUGUCAAGAGGGAAACAGCCCAGAGCACCAGUUAAGGCCCUUAAAUAAUUACUAAGUGAUAAAGGAGGUGGGAGUGCAUAGACAAUCAGGAGGUUUGCUUAGAAGCAGCAAUCCUUUAAAGAGUGCGUAAUAGCUCACUGAUCGAGUAAACCUGCGCCGAAAAUGUACGGGACUAAGUAAUUUGCCGAAACUGUGCGAUAUAUUUUUAAUAUAUCGGUAGGGGAGCGUUCUGUUGUAGGUUGAAGUAUUAGCGUAAGCGGAUAUGGACGAAGCAGAAGUGAGAAUGUCGGCUUGAGUAACGAAAAUAUAGGUGAGAAUCCUAUACCCCGAAAACCCAAGGUUUCCUCCGGAAGGCUCGUCCGCGGAGGGUAAGUCAGGACCUAAGGCGAGGCUGAAAAGCGUAGUCGAUGGACAACGGGUUAAUAUUCCCGUACCAUCUAUUACUGAUAUCGAGGGACGGAGAAGGCUAAGCUGGCCGGAUAUUGGUUACCGGUUUAAGUGUUCAAGGUGUUGAGAAACGGCGAAAACGUUUUGAGCUGAGACACGAAUACGAGACGCUAAGGCGUUGAAGCAGUGUAUGUCAUACUUCCAAGAAAAGCUCGCACUGUCAUAGGUAAAAGAUGCCUGUACCAUAACCGACACAGGUGGGUAGGUAGAGUAUACUAAGGGGCGCGAGAUAACUCUCUCUAAGGAACUCGGCAAAAUGACUCCGUAACUUCGGGAGAAGGAGUGCCUUAUUUAUAAGGCUGCAAUAACAAGAUCCAAGCAACUGUUUACCAAAAACACAGGUCUCCGCUAAGUCGUAAGACGAUGUAUGGGGGCUGACGCCUGCCCAGUGCCAGAAGGUUAAAGAAGUUGGUUAGCAUUAGCGAAGCUGAUAACUGAAGCCCUGGUGAACGGCGGCCGUAACUAUAACGGUCCUAAGGUAGCGAAAUUCCUUGUCGGAAGAUGCGGACUACCUGCACCUGGACAGAAAGACCCUAUGAAGCUUUACUGUAACUUGAAAUUGAAAUUGGACUUUAUUUGCGCAGUAUAGGUGGGAGGCGUUGAGUAUAAUCUUGCGGGAUUAUUGGAGCCAUCAGUGAGAUACCACUCUUGUAAUGUUAGAUUUCUAACUUUGAACCAUUAUCUGGUCAAAGAACAGUUUCAGGCGGGCAGUUUGACUGGGGCGGUCGCCUCCUAAACGGUAACGGAGGCGUACAAAGGUUUCCUCUGAACGUGUAGAAAUCGUAUCUAGAGUGUAAAGGCAUAAGGAAGCUUGACUGUGAGACCUACAAGUCGAGCAGGGACGAAAGUCGGUCUUAGUGAUCUGACGGUACUGAGUGGAAAGGCCGUCACUCAACGGAUAAAAGUUACUCUAGGGAUAACAGGCUGAUCUCCCCCAAGAGUUC